rnacentral:rRNA from 1 species
GAUGAACGCUGGCGGCGUGCCUAAUACAUGCAAGUCGAGCGAACGGACGAGAAGCUUGCUUCUCUGAUGUUAGCGGCGGACGGGUGAGUAACACGUGGAUAACCUACCUAUAAGACUGGGAUAACUUCGGGAAACCGUAGCUAAUACCGGAUAAUAUUUUGAACCGCAUGGUUCAAAAGUGAAAGACGGUCUUGCUGUCACUUAUAGAUGGAUCCGCGCUGCAUUAGCUAGUUGGUAAGGUAACGGCUUACCAAGGCAACGAUGCAUAGCCGACCUGAGAGGGGGAUCGGCCACACUGGAACUGAGACACGGUCCAGCACCCUACGGGAGGCAGAAGUAGGGAAUCUUCCGCAAUGGGCGAAAGCCUGACGGAGCAACGCCGCGUGAGUGAUGAAGGUCUUCGGAUCGUAAACCUCUUUUAUUAGGGAAGAAAAUAUGUGUAAGUAACUGUGCACAUCUUGACGGUCCCUAAUCAGAAAGCCACGGCUAACUACGU